GGAUGUGAGGGCGAUCUGGCUGCGACAUCUGUCACCCCAUUGAUCGCCAGGGUUGAUUCGGCUGAUCUGGCUGGCUAGGCGGGUGUCCCCUUUCUCCCUCUCCGCUCCAUGUGCGUCCCUCCCGAAGCUGCGCGCUCGGUCGAAGAGGACGACCAUCCCCGAUAGAGGAGGACCGGUCUUCGGUCAAGGGUAUACAAGUAGCUGCGCUCCCCUGCUAGAACCUCCAAACAAGCUCUCAAGGUCCAUAGGCUCAUUUUAAAAUUGAUUACUGUCACAGGUCAGGUUUCCCAGCAAGCAAACUCUG
rnacentral:snRNA from 1 species